rnacentral:rRNA from 1 species
ACGAGGACCAUUGGAGGCCAGUCUGGUGCCAGCACCCGCGGUAAUUCCAGCUCCAAUAGCGUAUAUUAAAGUUGUUGUGGUUAAAAAGCUCGUAGUUGAACCUUGGGCCKGGCUGGCCGGUCCGCCUCACCGCGUGUACUGGUCCGGCCGGGCCUUUCCCUCUGUGGAACCCCAUGCCCUUCACUGGGUGUGGCGGGGAAACAGGACUUUUACUGUGAAAAAAUUAGAGUGCUCCAGGCAGGCCUAUGCUCGAAUACAUUAGCAUGGAAUAAUAGAAUAGGACGUGUGGUUCUAUUUUGUUGGUUUCUAGGACCGCCGUAAUGAUUAAUAGGGACAGUCGGGGGCAUCAGUAUUCAAUUGUCAGAGGUGAAAUUCUUGGAUUUAUUGAAGACUAACUACUGCGAAAGCAUUUGCCAAGGAUGUUUUCAUUAAUCAGGAACGAAAGUUAGGGNAUCGAAGACGAUCAGAUACCGUCGUAGUCUUAACCAUAAACUAUGCCGACUAGGGAUCGGACGGUGUUAUUUUUUGACCCGUUCGGCACCUUACGAGAAAUCAAAGUGCUUGGGCUCCAGGGGGAGUAUGGUCGCAAGGCUGAAACUUAAAGAAAUUGACGGAAGGGCACCACCAGGGGCGGAGCCUGCGGCUUAAUUUGACUCAACACGGGGAAACUCACCAGGUCCAGACACAAUGAGGAUUGACAGAUUGAGAGCUCUUUCUUGAUUUUGUGGGUGGUGGUGCAUGGCCGUUCUUAGUUGGUGGAGUGAUUUGUCUGCUUAAUUGCGAUAACGAACGAGACCU